rnacentral:rRNA from 1 species
UGUGACAUACCAUUUUGUUGCCUCGGCGGUGCCUGUUCCGACAGCCCGCCAGAGGACCCCAAACCCAAACUUCCUUGAGUGAGUCUUCUGAGUAACCGAUUAAAUCAAUCAAAACUUUCAACAACGGAUCUCUUGGUUCUGGCAUCGAUGAAGAACGCAGCGAAAUGCGAUAAGUAAUGUGAAUUGCAGAAUUCAGUGAAUCAUCGAAUCUUUGAACGCACAUUGCGCCCGCCAGUAUUCUGGCGGGCAUGCCUGUUCGAGCGUCAUUACAUCCCUCAAGCCCCCGGGCUUGGUGUUGGGGAUCGGCGAGCCUCAGCGCCCGCCGUCCCCUAAAUUUAGUGGCGGUCACGCUGUAACUUCCUCUGCGUAGUAGCACACUUAGCACUGGGAAACAGCGCGGCCACGCCGUAAAACCCCCCAACUUUUGAACGUUUGACCUCGAAUCAGGUAGGACUACCCGCUGAACUUAAGCAUAUCAAUAAGCGGAGGAAAAGAAACCAACAAGGAUUCCCCUAGUAACA